AUGAUACGCGAGGAACCUUACCUGGGCUUAAAUGCUUAAUGACGUACUGGGAAACUGGUAUUUCUUCGGACAUUUUGCAAGGUGCUGCAUGGUUGUCGUCAGCUCGUGCCGUGAGGUGUCGGGUUAAGUCCCAUAACGAGCGCAACCCCUAUUGUUAGUUGCCAUCAGGUCAUGCUGGGGACUCUAACAAAACUGCCCGCGUAAGCGUGGAGGAAGGUGGGGAUGACGUCAAAUCAGCACGGCCCUUACGUCCAGGGCUACACACGUGCUACAAUGGCCGGUACAGAGGGCAGCCACUUGGUGACAAGGAGCAAAUCUCAAAAGCCGGUCUCAGUUCGGAUCGGAGUCUGCAACUCGACUCCGUGAAGUUGGAUUCGCUAGUAAUCGUAGAUCAGCAAUGCUACGGUGAAUACGUUCCCGGGCCUU
rnacentral:rRNA from 1 species